AGAUUGAACGCUAGCGGGAUGCUUUACACAUGCAAGUCGAACGGCAGCGCGGACUUCGGUCUGGCGGCGAGUGGCGAACGGGUGAGUAAUAUAUCGGAACGUGCCCCAGUAGCGGGGGAUAACUACGCGAAAGCGUGGCUAAUACCGCAUACGCCCUACGGGGGAAAGGGGGGGAUCGCAAGACCUCUCACUAUUGGAGCGGCCGAUAUCAGAUUAGCUAGUUGGUGAGGUAAAGGCUCACCAAGGCGACGAUCUGUAGCUGGUUUGAGAAGACGACCAGCCACACUGGGACUGACGACACGGCCCAGACUCCGUACGGGAGCAGCCAGGUGGGGAAUUUGGACAAGUGGGGGAAACCCUGACUUCCGAGCCAAUCCCGGACGUGUGCGUAGUCGGAACGGUCCGUUACGGGUUA
rnacentral:rRNA from 1 species